CAGCCGCCGCGGUAAUACGAAGGGUGCAAGCGUUACUCGGAAUUACUGGGCGUAAAGCGUGCGUAGGUGGUGGUUUAAGUCCGUUGUGAAAGCCCUGGGCUCAACCUGGGAAUUGCAGUGGAUACUGGGUCACUAGAGUGUGGUAGAGGAUAGUGGAAUUUCCGGUGUAGCAGUGAAAUGCGUAGAGAUCGGAAGGAACAUCUGUGGCGAAGGCGACUAUCUGGGCCAACACUGACACUGAGGCACGAAAGCGUGGGGAGUAAACAGGAUUAGAUACCCCAGUAGUCCCUGUCUCUUAUAC
rnacentral:rRNA from 1 species